rnacentral:rRNA from 1 species
UCAAUCAUAAAAGGUGGCUUUUAGCUACCACUUACAGAUGGACCCGCGGCGCAUUAGCUAGUUGGUGAGGUAACGGCUCACCAAGGCGACGAUGCGUAGCCGACCUGAGAGGGUGAUCGGCCACACUGGGACUGAGACACGGCCCAGACUCCUACGGGAGGCAGCAGUAGGGAAUCUUCCGCAAUGGACGAAAGUCUGACGGAGCAACGCCGCGUGAGUGAUGAAGGUUUUCGGAUCGUAAAACUCUGUUGUUAGGGAAGAACAAGUACCGUUCGAAUAGGGCGGUACCUUGACG